rnacentral:rRNA from 1 species
ACGGAGGCAGCAGUGGGGAAUAUUGCACAAUGGGCGAAAGCCUGAUGCAGCGACGCCGCGUGAGCGAAGAAGUAUUUCGGUAUGUAAAGCUCUAUCAGCAGGGAAGAUAAUGACGGUACCUGACUAAGAAGCACCGGCUAAAUACGUGCCAGCAGCCGCGGUAAUACGUAUGGUGCAAGCGUUAUCCGGAUUUACUGGGUGUAAAGGGAGCGCAGGCGGUACGGCAAGUCUGAUGUGAAAGCCCGGGGCUCAACCCCGGUACUGCAUUGGAAACUGUCGAACUAGAGUGUCGGAGGGGUAAGUGGAAUUCCUAGUGUAGCGGUGAAAUGCGUAGAUAUUAGGAGGAACACCAGUGGCGAAGGCGGCUUACUGGACGACAACUGACGCUGAGGCUCGAAAGCGUGGGGAGCAAACAGGAUUAGAUACCCUGGUA